UACCACCCCAUAAUUAGGCUUAAUAAUAAUUAGGGAUUUCCAUCGUGAGUUAGAAACUCAACAGAACUUCAACUACGGCGAUACAAAUUGCAGAGAGGCCGACGAGUACUUCAAAUUGGAAAGGUUCGGAGGCAUUGAGGAAAGGAAAGGCAUUGGAGAAGUAGCUUGCCUGACGUCAGUUCUUCGGUGGAGCAAGUGUACCAUCGACUUCGACUCGCCCUCAGCUCUAGCCAGUCUCCAGCACAUCAGAUUUCAGGGUGAGCUAUUCCUUCUAGCUCGUGCUGGAUUCUCUCAGUUAUGGCGUGAUGUCCUUGAAUUUCGUACAUGGACCAUCGUAUUUACUUAUUUUGGGUUCUCUAAUACUUUUAGACUUGAUAUGUUAAUAACAGAUGUCCUUGAUGUGAUGACUUUCAGAGUUUGGGGAUAAUAUGUAAUAGACUUUAGAGGUUUAUUUGAUUGGUUACUUUAAUAAGUUUUGGAG